UACGUAGGGGGCAAGCGUUGUCCGGAAUCAUUGGGCGUAAAGAGCGUGUAGGCGGCUCGGUAAGUCUGCUGUGAAAGUCCAGGGCUCAACCCUGGGAUGCCGGUGGAUACUGUCGAGCUCGAGUCCGGAAGAGGCGAGUGGAAUUCCUGGUGUAGCGGUGAAAUGGCGCAGAUAUCAGGAGGAACACCAUGGCGAAGGCAGCUCGCUGGGACGUGACUGACGCUGAGACGCGAAAGCGUGGGGAGCAAACAGG
rnacentral:rRNA from 1 species